UACCUUCUGCCUCGACACUGAAGUUGUAACGUUGGGUUUUGCAGGCAAUCUCUGAACAGAGCAAUAAUGUUUUAUCGAAAAGGAACCUUGAGCUGCUGUGACUUCAGAUACCAUUUGUCUUCAGGAUCCAUUUUCAUGUUCUGAAAUGGAGUAUUCAUACUGAGAAGACACUUGUGACUGAAAGAAUUAUUAGUUAAAAAUCAUCACGGUGAGAUGGUCAUGAAGGAAGUACUUAAUCCUUUGGGAAAGCUGAGCCUGACAUCUCUAAGGGUGACAGACCAGAACUAGGACAAUUUAGAGUUUAUUGCAAGCGUUUCAAAUGAAUCAUUUUGCCAAAUUUCAAAUCACUAGAUGAUGAUGCGGAUUCGGUUGCCCUUCAGAAAACUUAACAAUUUUCAAGUUUCUGCAUAGGUUUCCUGAACUGUAGCUGGACACAGCCUUGCAGUCAGGAAGAUGUUUUUGGUGGAACCAACUGCCUCACUGUAUUGAUGGUUUACUGGGCAGGCAAGGUAACCGAACUAACACAGAAAACUUGACUGAUGAACUGAGAAUCAUGAGCACGGAGUCAAGGAGCACCAUGUUACCCUCGCCGGUGCUCGCUGUCUGGUCUAUGAACCUGCUGGAUCCUAAGGCUUUGGACACCACUUCUUUGCUUCAGGUGUAAUGGGCAAUAACUGUGGACUCACUGCUAUAAGAAGGAAGAUCAACUACCCAAGACAGAUGCAUACAGCUUGGCUCCCUGGAGAUGGAAAGGCAGGGGAAGGAGUAAGAGGAAAAGGAUAUUAAGACUGUUUUUGUUUAACUGAAGCCACAGUACAGCCCUGGUCUCUUAGACAAUGACAAAUGCUGAACCUUUCAAAGUGACGCUUACAGACACUCRAUUCCAAUUUGCUCUUCAGCUCUAAAUCUACAAAAUCAUCUAGUGUAUUCUCCAAACUGACAUAGUUAGCCAUAUUAACACUUCUAUAAACCAUUUAUUGAUCCUUUCUAAAUUAGUUAUGUGUCUAUAUGACAAGUGGCACCUAAAUAAGCUUUUUCUCUGUCAGUACUUUCAACUGCAUCCGUGUAAGCAUUCGUGCCCUGGUAUCCUGUGUAUCAGAGACCAGAUGAUUUACACCAGUGAAAACAUGAUUAUUCAUAGCUGYGAUCCCACAGGUAAACAGAAAUAGGUGACCAUGUUUUUGAAACGAAUACAGAAAUAUGUGAUACGAUUGUAAUGAUUCAAAGCACAGAGUAUAAUUUUAGAGAGUUCUAUUGUGCUGA